rnacentral:rRNA from 1 species
GACGAACGCUGGCGGCGUGCUUAACACAUGCAAGUCGAACGGAAAGGCCCUGCUUUUGUGGGGUGCUCGAGUGGCGAACGGGUGAGUAACACGUGAGUAACCUGCCCUUGACUUUGGGAUAACUUCAGGAAACUGGGGCUAAUACCGGAUAGGAGCUCCUGCUGCAUGGUGGGGGUUGGAAAGUUUCGGCGGUUGGGGAUGGACUCGCGGCUUAUCAGCUUGUUGGUGGGGUAGUGGCUUACCAAGGCUUUGACGGGUAGCCGGCCUGAGAGGGUGAACGGGGACAUGGGGCCUGAGAGAGGGACCAGACGCCAACGGGAGGCAGGGGGGGGGAGUCUGACACAGUGGGGGGGAGUGAGAGACAGCGGCGCCGGGAGCGGAAAGCCGGGCUACGAGGGAUGAACAACGGUCGCCGGAAACAUGGCGGGCGUGACGGUAAUGAGUAAGAAAGCAACGGCUAACUACGUG